rnacentral:rRNA from 1 species
AGCGAACGUUAGCGGCGCGCCUAACACAUGCAAGUCGCACGAGAAAGGGCUUCGGCCCCAGUAAAGUGGCGCACGGGUGCGUAACACGUAGGCAAUCUUCCCUUGGGUGGGGGAUAACCUUCCGAAAGGAGGGCUAAUACCGCGUAAGACCACGUCCGGUUCGCCGGAUGAGGUCAAAGGUGGCCUCUGCAUGCAAGCCACCGCCUGAGAAUGAGCCUGCGGCCCAUCAGCUAGUUGGUAGGGUAACGGCCUACCAAGGCUAAGACGGGUAGCUGGUCUGAGAGGAUGAUCAGCCACACUGGCACUGAAACACGGGCCAGACUCCUACGGGAAGCAG